UUUCAUAUGAUAUGUUAUAUCUAUUUUACAAUAAAGUAACUUGCGAUAGGAAAAUAAGACCAAAUUUUCUGAGUUAUUUGUAAAGCUUCCCUAGUGAAUCUAUACAUCAAUUUAUAACCUCCUUAACAAGCAUGUCUAACCAAAUGCUAUACUUU